UUUUAUGGAGAGUUUGAUCCUGGCUCAGGAUGAACGCUGGCGGCGUGCCUAAUACAUGCAAGUCGAGCGAACGGACGAGAAGCUUGCUUCUCUGAUGUUAGCGGCGGACGGGUGAGUAACACGUGGAUAACCUACCUAUAAGACUGGGAUAACUUCGGGAAACCGGAGCUAAUACCGGAUAAUAUUUUGAACCGCAUGGUUCAAAAGUGAAAGACGGUCUUGCUGUCACUUAUAGAUGGAUCCGCGCUGCAUUAGCUAGUUGGUAAGGUAACGGCUUACCAAGGCAACGAUGCAUAGCCGACCUGGGAGGGGGGUCGGCCACACUGGAACUGAGACACG
rnacentral:rRNA from 1 species